rnacentral:rRNA from 1 species
UACGUAGGUCCCGAGCGUUGUCCGGAUUUAUUGGGCGUAAAGCGAGCGCAGGUGGUUUAUUAAGUCUGGUGUAAAAGGCAGUGGCUCAACCAUUGUAUGCAUUGGAAACUGGUAGACUUGAGUGCAGGAGAGGAGAGUGGAAUUUCAUGUGUAGCGGUGAAAUGCGUAGAUAUAUGGAGGAACACCGGUGGCGAAAGCGGCUUUCUGGCCUGUAACUGACACUGAGGUUCGAAAGCGUGGGGAGCAAACAGG